GUUCCUGUUAGAUAUGACACCUGCCUUUCACGCAGGCGACAGGGGUUCAAAUCCCCUUGGGGACGCCA
rnacentral:tRNA from 1 species